UUUGGCUGAUGUUAAAAGCCUGCCCAGAGUGCAAAACAGUAAGUAAUCAUCCUCCCCCACCUCCAGUCUCAUUCAGUGAGAGCUUCACAGAAGAGGCAGGCGAGUCUGGCUGAAAGAAAAGCUCGUAACCUUUGGUCAUGUCAAACUCUCCAGAACUAUAAAUUAAAUUCCAGAAGAAUCAUGCUUUCUCAGGUGUCCACGUGCAAUUCUGCAAACAGGUAUCCUCCAGAACAGGAGUCCCCCUGGAGCACCUUCCCUCAAGGCUCAGGGAUGAAAGCUGUAGACAAAGCAUAGCUCUAAAUCUCUUCAAAAGACUGCCAAGUGUACAUACUCAAGGGAGGGGGAAAUGCUGUAACCUCCUCUGUGAUGUUGAGUUAACAGCCUGAUGCCCUGCCAUUGCACUGCCCUUGUCUGCUGGAGGUGUGGAAUAAAUCUUUGAGCAGAAGAAUGGAAAUUAACAGUUCCAGGCACUUAAGUUUUCAUGGAAGACGUUGGUGUAACAGCUCUUGUUCAGCUAAACCUUUGCUCGCAGUAAUUCCUCAGUCCCUGCAUAUGAGAGCAGCAUCAACAGUGGCAAAGUGAGCAAGAAGUUUGACUAACCACGAGAGAUCAAAGGAGACUCAGGACUCAAGUUUGGCCAUGUGAUUAAGGCACAACCUGAACUGAACAAAGACAUUUUGGGUAGUUUCCAAGAGGAGGAGCUUCAAAUUAGGUAGUGCCUGCUGCCCUAGAAACCCCUAGGGAGAGGUUUGGGAGGUCCUUCUUUCCAGCACUGACCAGCCUUGGCAAUACUUCUCAAGUGACCCUUCUUACAUGUGUUACCUGGAUGCGUAAAUAGGGGUUCCUGGUUCCUGUGUGAAUUGAUGUGCACCAUAUAGUUGUGGACUUCGUUACUAGUGAGCAUUCCAGUGGCUUCAAACCCUGUGUAUUCGUUGAUGGCUAAAGGUAUCCCCUAGACUAUUAGCAAGAAUCAUGCACAUUUCAGAGAGAGCACUCAGCAUUGGAACAUGGAAACUUUGAAGAGCUCCAACAACUUUGGUCCUCCCACUGAUCCAGGAAACUGAGGUGUUUGGCAAACUCAAAAUGAAUAUAUCAAGAGUAUAUUGGAUAUAUGAGUCUGAAACGAGAACAUGGGCUGCUGAAAUGCACAGCAAGUUAAAACCUGGGAGAAAAGUGUGACAGAUGACUAUUCCUGGCCUGAAGAGAAGUUGCAGGUUUACACCAAUGCAUUGUUCAACUUUUUUCAUUUUUAAUUUAUGUGGAAAAUCUGAAGUCAUAAAAUGCUGUGUGACUACAGGAUGUCAGGAUAAAACAGCAGUUUAUAGAGAUUAUAAAGGACCUCAGACCAUAUUUUCAUCCCUUUCUUGAGGCUUGUAUGGAAAGGGCAGUCCUAGCUGAGAUGUAUGGCUGGAGGGAGCUGCUGGAGAGCAAGAACUGGAGAAGGAUCCUCACAACAGAACCUCUGAGUGACCUCACCUUGUCUACCCCAAACAUGAAGAGAAGGCAGCACACAGAGUCAUAGCACCACCAGCUUUGGAGUGGCAGAGAUGAAAGCAGUAAAACAGAGUGAAACUGAGCCCAUGAGAUGAACACUGCAGCGCUGCACCAUUUAAGCAUCCCCAGCUUUUUCGUGCAAAAACCCAAACAGCAGCACAAGCAUCAGCACUUACACUCUUGAUGCCUGCUCCUGGUAAGGUGAGGUGUGUCUGUCUCCAGCCAUGGCCACCGUUUCUCCCCCAGACAGCUGGGCCGUGAGCACCACUCCUCCUCACAAAGACCUGCAGGGCACCCGAAUGCAGCCCGGGCACCUUAUGCCUGAAGGACAGGCACAAAUCUCCAGCCUGAGCCACGUGGCCCAACGGCAGGAUGAGAUGUGCUGCUCUUCCUUCUUUCCCUUUGGGAUCGGAGAUGGUGAGGUACUGGCCCCCUGCAGUGGAAAAAGCAGUUAGUUGGGGUUUGUUUGGUGACAAGAGUUGUUAAAAAUAAAUAAAGAUAAAACAAGGUCCAGAAAGUGUAAAAUAAGGCACAAAGAACCAGAACUAAUACAUUUGCCUCCUACAGGGUAAGACUGACAGUGCUGCUCUUCUCUAUACAUUACUACCAGGCUGGGUGUUGCCCAUCUAAUUUCUUUUUAGCAAAGCAAACACUACUUCCCUCUCCAAAACUGAAACCUCGUGUAUUCUGUCAUUUCUGACAACCCCUUUGUCACUGAAUGACUUUAAACCCACAGUAACAUUAAAGCACUGUGCGAAUUCAUGCACCUUUCAAGCUGCAAUGUUUUGCUGUUGGAUAGAUAACAGAGACCAGAAUAAAUGCUAUCAUGUAAUUGA